rnacentral:lncRNA from 1 species
CAUUGUUCGUAUUUUUUAUUUUUUCCAUCCACUUUGUCGGGAUUUCCUGUGUACGCAAGACACCGAUAAAAUCAGUCUAACGAAACGAGCACACCAGAAUGUAUCGAUAUUACGUCACAGUUGUUUUGUUGGACCACAGGACGAUACUAAUUAUCUUAAUCGAAUGCGACGAAUACCGUUUCAUUAUCUAUACAUACGAAUUGAUUCUUUUCUUUGUCGCUCUAUAUUUUGUAAAUAUGAAAUUCAAUUAUUUUUAUCGACGCACGUUCCGUAACGUAAGCAUAGGUGCAGCUAUAUUUAAUUUUAUCGUUCCAAUAAUAAUAAAAACGGAAAUUACACAAAGAUUUUUAAAGAUGAAUGAAUUAUAUUUAGAAUCAUAUUUGGCGAACGGCCAAAAGAUCGCUUUAGCCCAAUUCUAACUCGACUUUUGAUUAUUUUUAAGAAGAAAAAAAAAAAAAAUACUUUCUUCAUUUCCGAAACAAAAAAAACAAAUUCGAAGAUUCGAUCGAAACUUCUCUUCAAAGAAUAAUUUCCAAGGUAUAUUUCGUGUAGUCGCGGGCGUGGAGAAAGUUUUCUGCCUUUCCUCGAACAUGACGGCUCCUUGGCCGUUACCCUAGGAAACGCUUCCUCCUCGAGGUGGUCCCCCACGUUCGACCGCUACCCACGCGUCCUUAUCCGAGGAAAGAAAGUUGUUACGCCGCACGAAACGCCGCGGAUUUUCUCUCCGCGACCCGCUCCUAUCUCCGCCGACAUGCCCUGGUUGCAAGCAGCAUCCUCUCCUUUUCCAUCCACGCGCCGCGGAAUACAGAAGAAGGUGCAAGGAAUUCUUAGAAACAGUUUACUACCUCUUGGCGGUGUCGGUGUAUACGUUGGGUAAGGGAAAGGUGCGAUUUGGAUAACAGAAGAAAUAGCAGAUGUCAACGUGUAUUUACAAAGAUGCCGUAGACACAAACAAAAUCGAGAAAAAGUUCAACAACCAGACGAUAAAGUAUAUCGUACGUGUUACGUGUAUAUUAAUAAGCGACUUGACUGUGGAGGACAAAUUUAAGAGAGGCAACGCCUCCGAAUACGUCCCUGACCCGCGUAAAAACCUUCCGAAUGUCUAGCACGGCAAAAUGUUUUAAUCGUGGCACGACUAUAAACAACUCCUUCGUUCGAGGAGAGGAUUUACGAGACGUG